CAACCUCUGAGGAUAUUCCCAAUAAGAUUGAAGACCUGAGAUCUGAGUGCAGCUCUGAUUUUGGGGGUAAAGAUUCUGUCACUAGUCCAGACAUGGAUGAAAUAACUCACGGUGCCCACCAGCUGACCUCUCCUCCUUCUCAGUCAGAGUCUCUGCUGGCCAUGUUUGAUCCACUGUCUUCACAUGAAGGGGCUUCUGCUGUGGUAAGGCCAAAGGUUCACUAUGCUAGGCCAUCGCAUCCACCACCAGAUCCCCCAAUCCUGGAAGGAGCUGUGGGAGGAAAUGAGGCCAGGUUGCCAAACUUUGGUUCCCAUGUUUUAACUCCAGCUGAAAUGGAGGCAUUCAAGCAAAGGCAUUCUUACCCUGAGAGACUAGUUCGAAGCAGGAGCUCUGAUAUAGUAUCUUCUGUCCGGAGACCCAUGAGUGACCCCAGCUGGAACCGGCGUCCAGGAAAUGAAGAGCGAGAACUCCCUCCAGCUGCAGCCAUUGGUGCUACUUCUUUGGUGGCUGCACCUCAUUCAUCAUCUUCAUCCCCGAGUAAGGACUCCUCAAGAGGAGAGACUGAAGAACGCAAAGAUAGCGAUGAUGAGAAAUCAGACAGGAACAGACCUUGGUGGAGAAAACGUUUUGUUUCAGCCAUGCCUAAAGGUAAUUUUAUAAAAUAUUAGAACGCUG
rnacentral:lncRNA from 1 species